UAUGAGGCAUUUUGCUUUCCCCCAGCAUUUUAAUGAGUCUUGGCCUUGUCCCUUAUCAGCCAUCACUUACUGCAAACUAAGUUCUCUCUCAUGCUCUGUCACGCAUAGCUCUAAAUGGCGUAUUUUUUCUCUCUCUCUUUCUUUUUUAAUUUAAAUUGUUUCAUCAGCUCAGUCACUUAAUAACAUGCCUGUAGAAUGGCUUAAAUUUCACAUUUACCUGGGGUUUGUCUCCAUUCUCCUGGAUAUGUAAACAGUUACACAAUUAUGUGUAUAAUUUAAACAGCCAUUCCCAGAAGCUCCGAAGGAAACAUGGGUUACAGGAUUAGAUUUAACUAUCAAAGGCUCAGGGGCUAAUUAACUAGCACUUGGGUGGAAAUUUAUAUUAAGUGCCACAUAUCUAGGACUGAAAUCUUAUCUUCAUGUAGCACGUCAUAGGUUCUGAAGUAUUUCUCAUUUAUUCCUCAUCAUAACCCUCAUACCACACAUUGAUAUCGUUACCCCCAUUUGACAAAUGGGGAAAACAGACCUAGGAAGGUUAGAUGCUUACUUCAGUGAUACAACUGGAGCUUAAGUUCAGGUAUUCUGACUCAAGGGUUACCAGAGUUCACAAGGAAAAAUACAGGACACCAGCUUAAAUCUGAAUUUCAGAUAAGCAAUGAAUAAUUUUUUAAUCAUAAGUAUAUCUCUUGCAUAAGUACAUCUCAUGCAACAUUUGAGAUCUACUUACACUAAAAUAGUAUUUGUGGUUUAUCUGAAAUUCAAUUUAACUGAGCACCCUGCAUUUUAUCUUAUAACUGUGACUCCCAAAUUUGAUGCUUGUUGCUUAGUAUUCUGUGAUGUUCUGCUGUAAUUAAAAAUAUAAAGUACUGGACAGGUGUGGCGGCUAUAACCCACCUGUAAUCCCAGCACUUUGGGAGGCUGAGCAGAUGGGUUCCUUGAGCUCAGGAGCUCAAGACCAGCCUGGGUAACAUGGUGAGACCCUGUCUCUAGAAAAAAUGCAAAAAUUGGCCAGGUGGUGGCAUGCACCUGCAGUCCCAGCUACACGGGAGGCUGAAGUGGGAGGAUCACCUGAGCCCAGGGAGGUCAAGGCUACGGUGAUUUGUGAUUACGCCACUGCACUUCAGCCUGGACAACAGAGUGAGACCCUGUCUCAAAAAAAAAAAAGUACUUUCUCUGUUGUGACUUUCACCCUGGCAGUUUCAGGUUUAGAAAUCUUUGGGGGGUGCUGGGCAUGGUGGCUCACACCUGUAAUCCCAGCACUUUAGGAGGCCGAGGUGGGUGGAUCACUUGAGGUCAAGAGCUCAAGACCAGCCUGGCUAACAUGGUGAAACCCCAUCUCUACUAAAAACACAAAAAUUAGCCAGGUGGUUGUGGCACGCGUCUGUAAUCCCAGCUACUCGGGAGGCUGAGGCAGGAGAAUUGCUUGAGCCUGGGAGGCGGAGGUUGCAGUGAGCCAAGAUCGCGCCACUGCACUCCAGCCUGGGUGACAGAGUGAGACCCUGUCUCAAGAAGAAAAAAAAAAAGAAAUCUUUGUUUUUCUUUCAUUUGACAAAGAUGCUUAUUAAUUUAUCUUUCCCCGUACUCUUAAUCCUCACCAGAGAAACUUGCCCAGGCCAAAGAAGAGAACGUGGGCUUACAUCAGACACUGGAUCAGACACUAAAUGAACUUAACUGUAUAUAAGCAAAACAGAAGAGUCUUGUUCCAACAGAAACUCCGGAGCUCCGUGGGUCUUUCUCUUCUCUUGUAAGAAGUUCCUUUUGUUAUUGCCAUCUUCGCUUUGCUGGAAAUGUCAAGCAAAUUAUGAAUACAUGACCAAAUAUUUUGUAUCAGAGAAGCUUUGAGCACCAGUUAAAUCUCAUUCCUUCCCUUUUUUUUUCAAAUGGCACCAGCUUUUUCAGCUCUCUUAGUUUUUCCGUAAGUUGCAUUUAUUCCUAAGGUAGGCAGGGUAUUUCCUAGUAAGCAUACUUUCUUAAGAUGGAGGCCAUUUGGUUCCUGGGAGAAUAGGCAGUCCCACACUUUGAAGAACACAGACCCCAGUAUCUAGUCGUGGAUAUAAUUAAAACGCUGAAGACCAUAACCUUUUGGGUCAACUGUUGGUCAAACUAUAGGAGAGACCAGGGACUAUCACAUGGGUAGGGAUUUUCCAUCCAGAGCCAAUAAAAGGGCUGGUGGGGGCCGGGGGUGGCUAUUGUGGGAAGUCAUAACCCACAGAUAGAUUAACCUAAGAAUCCUGGCCCUUCUCCACACUCCACCAUGCAGAACAAACAUCCUCUCAAGCAGUCAAUGUAGAAUGCUUGGGAAAUAGUCAUAAUUACCCACAUAUAGUAAUUAAUAGAUGGUAAUUAAUAGAUCCUUGAUGUGAUGUUCUUUUGCAUAUUUCCUUCAUUCUAAAAUUGUUCCCUGUCCGGGCGCAGUGGCUUUCGCCUGUAAUCCCAACACUUUGGGAGGCCAGGACAGAUCACUUGAGGUCAGGAGUUCGAGACCAGCCCAGCCAACAUGGCGAAACCAUGCCUCUACUAAAAAUACAAAAACUAUGGUGACGCCUGCCUGUAGUCCCAGCUACUCAGGAGGCUGAGGCAGGAGGAUCGCUUGAACCCAGGAAGUGGAGAUUGCAGUGAGCCGAGAUCGCACCACUGCACUCCAGCCUGGUCGACAGAUUGAGACUCCAUCUC
rnacentral:sRNA from 1 species